rnacentral:lncRNA from 11 species
UUCCAUACACCAUUUGUUGACAUUUGUUGAGCUCCCACAGAAAAAGUGACCUCAACACAAUACAGGAUCAUUUAGGCUGACACUAACUUCUUGAAAGACCCCUUUGCCUUGCUUGGCAAACAGUGCAGUUGGCAGAUGGGACAUGGAUGUGGUGAAAAUAAGUGAGCAGCCAGCUGGCCUAAACCUUGGGAUUUCUCCUCCAAGAACCCUUUUUGGAUCUUCCAUGGAGAUGGAACAGAGGCAACGGCUGUUGACUUACAUGUCAGGCUUCAUCCCAUAAGCAAAACAGAACAACUUUGUCAAUUUUGUGAAGCCUUAAAAGAUGCACAGUUGGCAUACAGAGUGAUUCUCAAAGCAAAGUUGCGCACCUAUUCACAAUUUUAUAGGCAUCUGAAUGAUUCAACACUGAAAAAGGGAGAAUGGAGGAGAACAUUCCUUGAAUGCUAAGCUCCAAAUAUUGUGCAUCUUAACUGUAAAAACUAUGACUAUUUUUCAUCUAAUUUUCUUCAUCCCCACCAAGGCUCUAGUGCCCUCUCUCUUGUUUGUCAGUAUCAGUUGGUUUGUUGUUGUCGUUUGACAAUUUUUGUAUUUUAUAUAUGCUAUGGUUAAAAAAAAUAAUUCAGUUUUAUCAUUGCUGCUUCUGCUUAACAUUCCAGUUACGUUGUGUGUUCCCAGACUGCAAUUCACAUUCAAUAAACUGCAUAUUUGCUUCUAGG